rnacentral:rRNA from 1 species
AUUGAACGCUGGCGGCAUGCCUUACACAUGCAAGUCGAACGGUAACAGGUCUUCGGAUGCUGACGAGUGGCGAACGGGUGAGUAAUACAUCGGAACGUGCCUAGUAGUGGGGGAUAACUACUCGAAAGAGUGGCUAAUACCGCAUGAGAUCUACGGAUGAAAGCAGGGGAUCGCAAGACCUUGUGCUACUAGAGCGGCCGAUGGCAGAUUAGGUAGUUGGUGGGAUAAAAGCUUACCAAGCCGACGAUCUGUAGCUGGUCUGAGAGGACGAUCAGCCACACUGGGACUGAGACACGGCCCAGACUCCUACGGGAGGCAGCAGUGGGGAAUUUUGGACAAUGGGCGCAAGCCUGAUCCAGCAAUGCCGCGUGCAGGAUGAAGGCCUUCGGGUUGUAAACUGCUUUUGUACGGAACGAAAAGCCCUGGGUUAAUACCCUGGGGUCAUGACGGUACCGUAAAAAUAAGCACCGGCUAACUACGUGCCAGCCGCCGCGGUAAUAC